UCCAAUGUGGAGAGUGCCCUGAAAUUCUGGA
rnacentral:piRNA from 1 species